rnacentral:lncRNA from 1 species
UGAGGUCUCCUGCCAUUGCCUUCCGAGAUCACCCGCCGCCGCUGCCGCCCCCGAGCUCUCCCUUCGGCGCCACCAGUGCUCUGUUCCGCGCGAACCACCGUCGCCGCUGCUCUGCAAGCCCUCGCGAGAAACGUCGCCUCCCGCUGCUGUCGCUCCGCCGGCGCACGCAACCGCCACCCUGGAGACCACUAUGUGCCGCCCCC